rnacentral:rRNA from 1 species
UACGGAGGGUGCAAGCGUUAUCCGGAUUUACUGGGUUUAAAGGUUGUGUAGGCGGGCUAUUAAGUCAGUGGUGAAAUCUCCGGGCUCAACCCGGAAACUGCCAUUGAUACUAUUAGUCUUGAAUUUUGUUGAGGUAGGCGGAAUAAGUCAUGUAGCGGUGAAAUGCAUAGAUAUGACUUAGAACACCAAUUGCGAAGGCAGCUUACUAAACAAAUAUUGACGCUGAGGCACGAAAGCGUGGGGAUCAAACAGG